rnacentral:rRNA from 1 species
CAGUCGCCGCGGUAAUACGUAGGGGGCAAGCGUUGUCCGGAAUCAUUGGGCGUAAAGCGCGUGUAGGCGGCUCGAUAAGUCUGCUGUGAAAGUCCAGGGCUCAACCCUGGGAUGCCGGUGGAUACUGUCGAGCUCGAGUCCGGAAGAGGCGAGUGGAAUUCCUGGUGUAGCGGUGAAAUGCGCAGAUAUCAGGAGGAACACCAAUGGCGAAGGCAGCUCGCUGGGACGUGACUGACGCUGAGACGCGAAAGCGUGGGGAGCAAACAGGAUUAGAGACCCCGGUAGUCCCUGUCUCUUAUAC